UCCAUUAUUGAGCCCCAAAAGAAUAAAAAAAAAAAAAAGUUUAAAACCAAGAAAGUAAAGGCUUUGGGAAGGAAGGAAACAGUUAUUUUCCUUCCAACCAAACUUCCAGUCAAAGAAAUAAUAUCUUAAAAGAUAAUUUAUUAUUAUUUUAAAAAAAUGGGAAAAAAAGAAGCAGAACAAAAGCCUUUGGAUGAUUCAAAUUCAACACAUAAAUCUAACACAUCAUUAGUUGAUAAGCCAGCCGCAGCAGCUACAGAUAUGGCAAUAACUUCAAUUCCAUCCACAUUACUUCCUCAACCUUCUUGGUUCACUGCUAAAAGGUUACUUGCUGUAUUCUGUGUGAUCAACUUAAUAAAUUAUGUGGAUCGUGGAACUAUUGCGAGCAAUGGUGUUAAUGGAAAACGCAGGACUUGCAAGCCAAAUGGUACAUGUUCUUCUGGCAGCGGAAUUCAGGGUGAAUUUAAUUUGAGUAAUUUUCAGGAUGGUGUCAUAUCAUCUGCUUUCAUGGUUGGGCUUCUGGUGGCAUCUCCAAUAUUUGCCUCCUUCGCCAAGAGGGUCAAUCCGUUUAGACUUAUUGGAGUUGGGCUGACAGUGUGGACAAUAGCUGUUGUUGGUUGUGGUUUCUCGUUCAAUUUCUGGUUCAUUGCAAUAUGCAGAAUGCUGGUGGGUGUUGGUGAGGCAUCUUUCAUAAGCCUUGCUGCUCCUUUUAUUGAUGAUAAUGCCCCUGUUGCUCAGAAAACAGCAUGGCUGGGAACAUUUUACAUGUGUAUACCAACUGGGAUAGCAGUUGGCUACGUAUAUGGUGGACUGGUUGGUGAUCAUCUUAACUGGCGUUGGGCAUUUUGGAUAGAGGCACUACUAAUGCUUCCCUUUGCAGUUUUAGGUUUAGUUAUGAAACCAUUACAAUUAAAAGGAUUCUCUCACCUCGGAUCAAAAAAACCAUUGACUUCUCCCCUGACCGCUUACCCAGAAGAAGCUGUUUCAAAUUGUAGCAAUGGUUUGUUACCAACACGCGAAGAUUCCAAGGAUGGUUCGAAAGGUGCUCCUAGCAAUUUGAAUGAUUUGACAAGAUUUUGGAAGGAUCUGAAAAUGCUUCAUCUUGAAAAGAUUUAUGUCAUCAAUGUCCUAGGAUACAUAGCAUAUAAUUUCGUUAUUGGUGCAUAUUCCUAUUGGGGACCAAAGGCUGGUUAUAACAUAUACCAUAUGAAAAAUGCAGACAUGAUGUUUGGAGGUGUUACGGUUAUAUCUGGAAUAUUUGGAACCUUGGCCGGAGGCUUUGUUUUGGAUCGAAUGACGUCCACAAUACCCAAUGCCUUUAAGCUUCUCUCAGUGGCAACAUUUCUUGGAGCAAUAUUUUGCUUUGCUGCCUUUUGUUUUAAGAGUUUAUAUGCUUUCAUCCCGCUUUUUGCAAUAGGAGAACUGCUUGUAUUUGCAACACAGGGCCCUGUAAACUAUGUCUGUCUCCAUUGUGUCAAACCAAGCUUGAGACCACUGUCGAUGGCGAUGUCUACUGUUUCAAUUCACUUAUUUGGUGAUGUGCCAUCCUCUCCUCUUGUAGGAGUUGUCCAGGGAUUGGAAACAAAGUUAGCAUGUAAGUGGGGAGGGCAUCCAAGACUGCAUCGAUCAAUGAUCACAUUAACAAUUGGAGGGUCACUGCUUUGAUAUUGACAGCAAUUCUAUUUAUAGCCUCUGGAAUAUGGUUUAUAGGCAUCUUUCUUCACAGCGUAGAUAGAUUUGACGAAGAUAGUGAGGAUCAAAUAAGUGAUGCUGAGAGAUCAAAGUCACAACCAUUGCUCAAGGGGAAAAGUAGUGAACAGAUUGAGGUCUCCAUAGAAUCCUCCUAGUAGUUUGUUGUGUAGCUGCUGCACCAAUGAAAUGUAAAUUCUUUGGUUCUUUUACUCUUGAGAAUGGUUGCUUUUGGCCCCGGUUUGCACACACCUUUACUUUUUCACCUUUGUAACUGCCGCCUUCUAUUGGUACAAGUACCAAAAUAACUCGGUCCUCCAAGGCUAAAUGUAAAUUCUUUGAUUCUUAUCUCUGCGUAAAUAAUGUCGCCCUCCAUACAAGAGAAGUUGAAUUUGUUCA